AGCAGCCGCGGUAAUUCCAGCUCCAAUAGCGUAUAUUAAAGUUGCUGCAGUUAAAAAGCUCGUAGUUGAAUUUCGGGAUCAAUAUGUUGGUCGUGCCUCGGUACGUACUAGCUUAUUGGUUUCUUCCUUCUGACGAACCAUAAUGUCAUUUAUUUGGUGUUAUGGGGAAUCAGGACUGUUACUUUGAAAAAAUUAGAGCGUUUAAAGCAGGCUCACGCUUGAAUACAUUAGCAUGGAAUAAUGAAAUAGGACGUUUGAUUCUAUUUUGUUGGUUUCUAGGAUCGACGUAAUGAUUAAUAGGGAUAGUUGGGGGCAUUAGUAUUCAAUUGUCAGAGGUGAAAUUCUUGGAUUUAUUGAAGACUAACUACUGCGAAAGUAUUUGCCAAGGAUGUUUUCAUUAAUCAAGAACGAAAGUUAGGGGAUCGAAGACGAUCAGAUACCGUCGUAGUCUUAACCAUAAACUAUGCCGACUAGGGAUCGGAUGAUGUUAAUUUUUUAAUGACUCAUUCGGCGCCUUACG
rnacentral:misc_RNA from 1 species